CUCAGCUUGAGGCAGAACUGAGCACAUUUGUGCAGGGGAAUCCAUGCCUCAUGGCGCUCUCCAGUCUACUCUGGGUGUUCCUGGCCUUCACCUUCUCUGGAUCUGGUGUGGCCCAGAAAGUUACUCAAGACCAGCCAUACAUAACCAGUCAAAUAGGGCAAUCUGUCAUUCUGAACUGUCGGUAUGAACUAGGGAGGAGUGGGUACACGCACUACCUUUUUUGGUACAAGCAGCUUCCCAGUGGAGAGAUGACUUUCCUUAUUCGUCAGGAAUCUUCUGGCCGGAAUGCAAGGAAUGGCCGCUACUCUGUAAACUUUCAGAGAGCACAGAACUCCAUCAGCCUCAACAUUUCAGCCUUACAGCUGGAAGACUCCGCAAAGUACUUUUGUGCAGUCUGGGAACUCACAGUGCUUGAAGUAAUGGGAAAAGCUGUACAAAAACCCCAGAGCUUAAUAAGAGGCACCUCCGCUCACUGCUGUGUUGACUUCCUCUACAACAAGGUCCUUAUUCAGGAGCAAUGCUUUGUGAAAUGCCACAAAGAUGAAUAA